rnacentral:rRNA from 1 species
AGGACGAACGCUGGCGGCGUGCUUAACACAUGCAAGUCGAACGCUGAACCCGCUUCGGUGGGGGAUGAGUGGCGAACGGGUGAGUAACACGUGGGCAACCUGCCCCCGGCUCUGGGAUAACUCCAAGAAAUUGGGGCUAAUACCGGAUGUGACCGCUGGCCGCAUGGUCUGGUGGUGGAAAGGGUUUCCGGCUGGGGAUGGGCCCGCGGCCUAUCAGCUUGUUGGUGGGGUAGUGGCCUACCAAGGCGACGACGGGUAGCCGGCCUGAGAGGGUGACCGGCCACACUGGGACUGAGACACGGCCCAGACUCCUACGGGAGGCAGCAGUGGGGAAUAUUGCGCAAUGGGCGGAAGCCUGACGCAGCGACGCCGCGUGGGGGAUGACGGCCUUCGGGUUGUAAACCUCUUUCAGCAGGGACGAAGCGGAAGUGACGGUACCUGCAGAAGAAGCACCGGCCAACUACGUGCCAGCAGCCGCGGUAAUACGUAGGGUGCAAGCGUUGUCCGGAAUUAUUGGGCGUAAAGAGCUCGUAGGCGGUUGGUCGCGUCGGCUGUGAAAACCCGGAGCUCAACUCCGGGCCUGCAGUCGAUACGGGCCGACUUGAGUGUUGCAGGGGAGACUGGAAUUCCUGGUGUAGCGGUGAAAUGCGCAGAUAUCAGGAGGAACACCGGUGGCGAAGGCGGGUCUCUGGGCAACAACUGACGCUGAGGAGCGAAAGCGUGGGGAGCGAACAGGAUUAGAUACCCUGGUAGU